GUGCUGCCGCUUACCACUCUGCACCACGGGGCUCUUUGAUUGUGUAAAUGAAAACCCUGGCCUUUAUAAAGUGGACUGUACAACAGCUCUUCUGCAAGGCAAGAAGCCCAGAUCCAGGCAGACAAGACUACAGUGGUGUAAGAAAGCAGGGAGGUGCAGCCUCAACAGCUCUUGGUGCGGAGGCUACUGCCACUGGGGGCUGGGCAGUUGCCAACAGGGUCUCCCUGCAAGCCCUUCACAUUGCUGGAUCAGACCAUUCCACGGCAGAUGCGCUGUGCAGGAAGGCGAGUGCCAAUCACGAGUGGUCUCUGAAGGACGUGUAUCUUGACUACGCGUUUGCCUGGUGGUGCACCCCAGAGGUGGCGACUACUCUGUGUUUCACCCAAACCCUCAGUCAGAAGCUGAGAGGGCACUCCGUUCUCUAGAUCUGAAGAGGGCGCUCUCCUUCUAUCUGGAUAGGACAAAAGGGUUCUGGGAUGGCACGCACUUAUUUAUAUGCUUUGGUGAAGAGAAUAAAGGAAGAGGAGCCCCUGCUUAAACAACGUCCAGGUGGAUCGUGUCUGCAACCCUAACAGAGUGUCAGCAAGCCGAGGUUCCGUGCCCACUGUGAGUGAAAACCCACUCGGCCUGGUCUCGGGCAUCCCCUUCUGCUUUUUAAAGAGGGGUCCCCGUUGCCGACAUUUGUAGGGCAGCAACUUGGUCUUCCUCUGAUAUGUUUAAUCAACACUAUGCUGUGUUCGUUGACACCACGCAAGAUGUGGCGGCAGCAGCACAGCUGUGUUGCACUCUUUGUUUGCACAGAAGUGUACGAGAUGACAUUCGGCGUCAAAUACUAUGAUGGAUUUAUCAUACCACUGAGGUUGUGUGUGUGUGUAUGUUUUUACUGUUGCUAUUGUACAACUUACAAGUGUUUGUUUUCUAUUUCACUUGCUUAUUGCAGUGAUGCUUUAAUGUUAAUGUAAUAAAAUUGUGUUGGAGAGA